GAUGAAUGCUGGCGGCGUGCUUAACACAUGCAAGUCGAACGAGAACGGAUUAUAGCUUGCUAUAAUUGUCAGCUAAGUGGCGCACGGGUGAGUAAUGUAUAGGUAAUAUGCCUCUUACUAAGGGAUAACAAAUGGAAACGUUUGCUAAUACCUUAUACUCCUUAUUAACAUAAGUUAAUAAGGGAAAGAUUUAUUGGUAAGAGAUUAGCCUGUAUUGUAUCAGUUAGUUGGUGGGGUAAUGGCUUACCAAGACUAUGACACAUAACUGGUUUGAGAGGAUGAUCAGUCACACUGGAACUGAGACACGGUCCAGACUCCUACGGGAGGCAGCAGUGGGGAAUAUUGCACAAUGGACGAAAGUCUGAUGCAGCAACGCCGCGUGGAGGAUGACGCAUUUCGGUGCGUAAACUCCUUUUAUAUGAGAAGAUAAUGACGGUAUUAUAUGAAUAAGCACCGGCUAACUCCGUGCCAGCAGCCGCCGCCG
rnacentral:rRNA from 1 species